CCAGCUUUCUCUGUUCCAACCUGAGCAGAGGUAUUCAGGCUACGUGGAUCCAUGAUGCUGAAGAGGAGCAGAUGAUCGGCUGACCUGAGGCAUUGAGCAGGAGAGUAACAGUGGAGCAGAUCAGAGAGGUAAGUUGGAACAAGACCAUGUCAACUUUUAAAAACUAGCAAGACCAUGUCAACUUUUAAAAACUGUCAAUAUUUUUUUCAUCAAAUGUUUGGAUUAUUUUCGGCUGUUAUACGUAAGUAAGAAUUGGUUCAACUGAAAAAGUGGGAUUGAAUAUUGGAAUAUUUCUACUGUGUGGAUUAGAUGUGUGCAUUUAGUUAGACACUUAAGACAUACACAGGCCCUCACAACAACCAGUUGCAUGUGUUUGAUGACUGAUGAUGUAAUUUACAUCAUCCAAUACCUUAGGAACCAUGUUGGUAUCCAUAUACUUACUGGGCCUGUCACAGCUGCUUUAAUCAUAUGUUGAAGUAGAGUCAUUAAUGCCUCAAUCAAUCGCUUGUGCUUAAACAUUUGGAGUUGCCAUUGGCAUAAUCCAAAUUAUUAUGUGGGUAUCUAAAUUACUGCCAUUUAUUUGGUAAAGUAGGAUUGUUAAGCACCCUCACAGAAAUCAACAAAAAUGUCCGGAGAGAAGAGAGCAUGCACUUUGUGUCAGGGUUCUCUGUGUUUCCAUGCUCUAACUCUGCUUCACAGGUGGCUGCAGUUGACUGGUGGGCAUGGCCCACACCUGCUGCUCAUCAAGGAGCUUUCAUCUCAGGCUUUAUAAGGAGUUCAGAGACAGCUGGAAGACGCCAGAGUGUUACCCCGUCGUGGUAUGCCUAGGCCUCUGAUCUGUCUCCAGUGCCUCGUAUCUGUGAGUUCUUGGAAACCCUGUUUAUGGACUAACUCUGUCACCUGUUAUUCUCCAGUCUUGUCGUGUUUGGAUUUACUCACAUGUAUUGGUGUCGUGCUCAGUGAACAAGCCUUCAGAAUCCCCACCGCUCAGAUUUCGCUCUGGCAUCUCCUCUCAUGCUCCCUUGGUGGUGCCAAGCCGGGCGUGAGAACCGCUUCCUGGAUUCACCUGGUUCACCUACAAACCCUCCAGUUCUUCCAGCUGCUCCUCCUGCCAGCCGUUUCAGUGGUGCUGUCCGGACCCCUUGCCAGCAUUCCAUCUGUCAGCCCUCCAGUCACUCAGCCACCUGUUUCCAUCAGUGAGUUACAGUCACAGAGUUCCCACAUUACUCAUCCCCCCCGGAUAGGUCUCCCCAACCAAACGUCGUUCCAGCUCUGACAUUCAGACCUCGCCUGUCACACACACUGUGUGCUUUUGCAUUAUUGAGCCUUAAAAUAAAAAUCUUAAAAAUGUUUCUGCUUCUGUCUGUGGCUGCAUGUGGGCCAAACACUUAAAAACCAUGACACUUUGUAGUUCCUUUUUGGGAAGCUGUAGGUUCGGGUUUGCCUCGUAUCAUUCAUACGCAUACCCAUCACGUAAUGAUGUCGGAAUUAAAGGCUGCCCGAAUUCAGCACAUCAGUCUGAAGCUCCUUUCCUCCCCACGAGUUCUUACUGUUGAACCCAUGAAAGGUCAAAGAACAGGCGCUAGAAGCUAUCAUUUAGGGUAUUUCGAUGGGACCUGUGUUUUCGACUGCUUUCUGUACAGCCGAACACAAACUUCAGGU